rnacentral:SRP_RNA from 1 species
CUGUGCUAGAUGGGGAGGUAGCGGUGCCCUGUAACCCGCAACCCGCUAUAGCGGGAUUGAAUUCCUGCCCGAGGUUUGCAGCAUGUAAGGUUCAGGACCCCGGUAAGUGAUGAAGAGGAUUGGGUCCUGCGCAACGGAGACCCGUGAACCCUGUCAGAUCCGGAAGGAAGCAGCAGUAAGCGGAAAUUUUCGUGUGCCGCAGGGAAGCCUGAUUGGAGU